GUGCUCACCUUGACAGCACAUACACUAAAAUUGGAAUGAUAAAGAAAGUUAGCAUGGCCUCUGAGCAAGGUGACAUGCAAAUUCUGAAGUGUUCCAUAUUUUU